AUGUGUGGAGGAAGCGAUGAAUCAUUAUUUCAUACGCUAGUGACAUGCGAGCAUGCGCUGCUGUUCUGGGAAGAGGCAGAGGAUUUUUUUGAGCUCAGAAUGCCCGCAUUACAUCCAGUGACAUGGGCUAGGGAUGUGCUCGAUCAUAACUUUAUUAGUAAGAAGGAUGCAGCAGUGGCCGUUUCGGUUAUGUGGGCGAUUUGGAACAACAGAAAUAGAUAUACUCAGAAUGAAGCAGUCUACCAGCCGUUGCGGUCAAUGCAGUUAGUACAGGAGCUGGUGAGAGCUCUGGAUAUCGCAGCUACGGAGGCGCAACAACCUAAGCCUCAACCAGUGUGGAAACCUCCCGAGGAAGGCUGGAUCAAAGUUAAUACCGACGGUGCAGUUGGGUCGGUCAGAAACUGUGCUGGGACGGGUGCAGUUUUGAGAGACCACCUGGGAGUGUUUGUUGCGGCAAUGAUGACAAAGUAUGAUGCUGUAUCAGAUCCAUCAUCGUUGAAGCAUUAG
rnacentral:rRNA from 1 species